GCAGUGGUAUUUACAACUAAUUGAUCACAGUCAGUUACAGAUUCCUUUGUUCCUUCUCCACUCCCCCUGCUUCAC
rnacentral:sRNA from 1 species